rnacentral:rRNA from 1 species
GUCUACGGCCAUGCCACCCUGAACAAGCCUGAUCCCAUCUGAUCUUGGAAGCUAAGCAGGGUCGGGCCUGGUUAGUACUUGGAUGGGAGACCACCUGGGAAGACCAGGUGCUAUAGGCA